UGACGGAGCAACGCCGCGUGAGUGAUGACGGCCUUCGGGUUGUAAAGCUCUGUUAAUCGGGACGAAAGGCCUUCUUGCGAAUAGUUAGAAGGAUUGACGGUACCGGAAUAGAAAGCCACGGCUAACUACGUGCCAGCAGCCGCGGUAAUACGUAGGUGGCAAGCGUUGUCCGGAAUUAUUGGGCGUAAAGCGCGCGCAGGCGGAUAGGUCAGUCUGUCUUAAAAGUUCGGGGCUUAACCCCGUGAUGGGAUGGAAACUGCCAAUCUAGAGUAUCGGAGAGGAAAGUGGAAUUCCUAGUGUAGCGGUGAAAUGCGUAGAUAUUAGGAAGAACACCAGUGGCGAAGGCGACUUUCUGGACGAAAACUGACGCUGAGGCGCGAAAGCCAGGGGAGCGAACGGGAUUAGAUACCCCGGUAGUCCUGGCCGUAAACGAUGGGUACUAGGUGUAGGAGGUAUCGACCCCUUCUGUGCCGAAGUUAACGCAAUAAGUACCCCGCCUGGGGAGUACGACCGCAAGGUUGAAACUCAAAGGAAUUGACGGGGGCCCGCACAAGCGGUGGAGUAUGUGGUUUAAUUC
rnacentral:rRNA from 1 species